rnacentral:misc_RNA from 1 species
ACAAACUUGGUCAUUUAGAGGAAGUAAAAGUCGUAACAAGGUCUCCGUUGGUGAACCAGCGGAGGGAUCAUUACGAAAAGGAGUAUUCGUACUCUUAAACCCUUUGUGAACCUUACCUAUCGUCAGUUGCUUCGGCGGGAGGCCCCUGGGAGGGGCCCCGGGGCCCGGCCUGAGCCGGGCUCCCGCCGGAGGAGCGCAAACCAAACUCUUGCUGUACCUCAGUGGAACAUCCGAGUCAAAACAAAUAAACAAGUUAAAACUUUCAACAACGGAUCUCUUGGUUCUGGCAUCGAUGAAGAACGCAGC